AUGCUCACUUUGGGAGCACAUAUACCAAAAUUGGAAUCGUACAGAAAAGAUUAGCAUAUCCUCUGUGCAAAGAUGACAUAAAUUUGUUGUACAUUUCAUAUUUUC